rnacentral:rRNA from 1 species
CCUACGGGUGGCAGCAGUGAGGAAUAUUGCUCAAUGGGCGAGAGCCUGAACCAGCCAUGCCGCGUGAGGGAGUACUGCCUUAUGGUUGUUAAACCCCUUUUGUCGGGGAGCAGGAGCCGGAGUUGUCCAGCUUGGCGAUUACCCGUAGAAAAAGCAUCGGCUACCGCCGUGCCAGCAGCCGCGGUAAUAGGGAGGAUGCGAGCGGUAUCCGGAUUUGUUGGUUUUAAGCGGUGCGCAGGCGGAUUGUUAAGUCAACGGUCAAAUCGUGGGGCUAAACCCCAUCCCGCCGUUGACACUGGGAAUCUAGAGUGUGCGAGAGGGAUGCGGAAUGCGUGGUGUAGCGGUGAAAUGCGUAGAUAUCACGAAGAACACCGGUUGCGAAGGCAGCAUACCGGUGAAAAACUGACGCUCAGGCACGAAAGCGUGGGUAUCGAACAGGAUUAGAUACCCGGGUAGUC